CAUUAUUGAAAUAAACCUGAUGAGUUGCUGCUGGUUCUCUAGGGAGCAUGUGCACACUUGUCAUCUUUGUAUCUUCACCUGUGCACCUUUUGUAGACCUUGGGUAUCUCUCUGAUUGCUUAGCACUCAGGAUUGAGGAUUGACAGAAAGUCUCUUCUUACAUUUCCAGGUCUAUGUUUCUUCAUAUACCCUAAUGUAUGUUUAUAGAAUGUAAUUAAUGGGCCUUUGUGCCUAUAAAUCUAUACAACUUUCAGCAACGGAUCUCUUGGCUCUCGCAUCGAUGAAGAACGCAGCGAAAUGCGAUAAGUAAUGUGAAUUGCAGAAUUCAGUGAAUCAUCGAAUCUUUGAACGCACCUUGCGCUCCUUGGUAUUCCGAGGAGCAUGCCUGUUUGAGUGUCAUUAAUAUAUCAACCUCAUUGGUUGGAUGUGGGUUUGCUGGCCUCUUGAGGUCAGCUCUCCUUAAAUGCAUUAGCAGACAACAUUUUGCCAAACGCUCAUUGGUGUGAUAAUUAUCUACGCUAUUGACGUGAAGCAGGUUCAGCUUCUAAUAGUCCAUUGACUUGGACAA
rnacentral:rRNA from 1 species